GGUGCGACUUAUUCCACUGAUUACUCUGAGGAGUACUUAAGCAGGAGGCUGCCAGCACUUUGAUGCCAGAGUGUUAUGCCACCAGUGGUACAAGCUCGAACCAAACACUAAGUUUAUGCUUUGUUCUUUGACCUUGUAUAACUUUGUUGUUGCUCCUUUUGCAGAUUUGGAAAGCCUAAGCUUUGGAUCUGUGUCUUCGUUUGGAUUCGCAUCAAGCUGGCUGUUUCCUGCUCCUGUCGUCUCCUGGAUCAUGCCGACAUUCAGGAGGAUCGCAAGCACGUUCGCCAAGUUCUUCAUCGUCUUCUGGAGAAUCGCCUGUUCGUAAAAGCCGAGAAGUGUGAGUUUCAUCAGUCUUCAAUCACUUCCUUGAGCUACAUCCUUGAGGGUGGACAGCUACGUUCAGAUCCAGAGAAAAUAAGAGCAGUACUGGAAUGGCCGGUGCCAUUAAAUUCUCACAUUUUUUCUGCCAAUGGACGUUCACCUUUUGAGGCCUCCCUUGGUUAUCAGCCAUCCCUGUUUGCUGCCGACGAAAAAGAUAUCACUGUGUCAUCUGUCCACCAACAUAUCCGCCACUGCAAGAACAUUUGGAAUUCUACUCUCCAGAGCUUACACCAUACUGCUGAUCAGAACAAACGCAGACCUGCACCUGAAUACCAGCCUGGACAGAAGGUAUGGUUGUCUGCACGAGAUAUACCCCUUAAGUCUACGUCACGGAAGCUUUCGCCUCGUUUCAUCGGUCCCAAUGAGAUUGAGACUAUAAUUAAUCCGUCUGCUGUUCGUCUCGGUUUACCUACAAGUCUUCGUAUCCAUCCUAUAUUCCAUGUAUCCCAGAUAAAGCCAGUGGUCUCAAGUGACCGUUUACUUUCUGUUUCCCUGUAUUCACUCAACCUCUUCCCCUCUCUCCAUAUAGUGAGAUUUACGACCAUUACGUUCCUGAUUAUCAUCUUCCAAAUAAACAACCUUUUACUCA